rnacentral:rRNA from 1 species
UAUGCUUUUAAUGGAUACCUUGGUAGAAAAAGAAAUGAGGACGUUUUAAAGCACGAAAAGCAGUGGGGAAAGAGACCCUUGUUGAUCCACUGAUUUCCUUCGGUAAACCAUUAUUUUCAAACUUAACGAAUUGAACCAUCUUAGUAGUUAAGGGAAAAAAAUCAACCGAGAAGCCGUGAGUAGUGGCGAAUGAAAGCGGUGUUUAGGCCGUGAGUUUCUAUCUUUGAAUCUCACUCCUUUCUUUUGUUUGAGUUUUGUACUCAUCAAUCCUUUGAAGAAUGUGGAAUCAUUCGCCGGAGAGAGUGAAAGCCUCGUACAAAGGAAGAGAAGAAAGGUCGAGUAAAGCGAAUAUUCAUUUGUUUGAAAGUGGGGGACCCAUCCUCUAAGCCUAAAACUUUUUCUGACCGAUAGUGUAUAGUACUGUGAAGGAAAGGUGAAAAGAACCCCAGAACGGGGAGUGAAAUAGAAAACUUGAAAUUAAAAGUUGUUGAACAGUAGAUGUAUUUGUCAAUACUAACUGCGUACCUUUUGCAUAAUGGAUCAGCGAGUUAUUUUGUCAAGCAAGCUUAAGCGGUGACGUGGAGGCGGAAUGCGAAUGAAUGAAAGUUUGGCAAAGUAGACCCGAACCCGAGUGAUCUAAGUAUGAGCAAGUUGAAGAUUGGGGAAACUUAAUUGAAGGACUGAAGCCGUAGGCGUUGCAAAGCCUUGGUGUGACUUGUGCUUAGGAGUGAAAGGCUAAUCAAACUCGGAUCUAGCUGGUUCUCUCCGAAAUCUAUUUAGGUAGAGCGUCUUGUGAAAGGUUGAUAUGAGGUAGAGCACUUCAUGGGUGCGGGGGGCGUAAAGCUUUACCGUAUUCAAGAAAACUCCGAAUGCGUAUCAAUCCCCAAGAUAGACAGAACUUCGGCGCUAAGGUCGAGGUUCGAGAGGGAAAGAGCCCAGAUCGCAGGCUAAGGUCCCUAAUCUUUUUCUGAGUGUGACAAGGACGGAUGAAGUUGAAGAUCAUUUAUAAGGUGGGCUUAGAAGCAGCCAUCCUUUGUAAAGAAAGCGUAAUAGCUCGUUGUUUAAUGAUUUCAUCGACCGAAAAUGUAUCGGGUCUCAAGAAAAAAACCGAAGCCGCGAAUGAGAAAUCUCAUGGUAGGAGAGCGUUGUGUAUGUUGAUGAAGUUAAGCCGAUAGGCUGAAUGGAGAUAUCACAAUUGAAUAUGCUGAUAUGAGUAUCGUAAAAUCAUGUGAAAUCCAUGAUCACCGAAAUUUCAAGGUUUUCUGCGUUAAGCGAAUCUGCGCAGAGUGAGACGGCCCCUAAGGCACUUGUGUGAAACACAUGUCGAUGGGUACUUUUUGAGAAUCUAUCAUUGGUCUCACCUUCAAGCGGAAUUGGCUUGUUUGAAGGUUGGAAAAAAUGAUCGGGAAAAUCCUCAAGAGAAAAACCGUACUGGAAACCGACUCUGGUGAAAGAGUAGAAAUCUACUAAGGUGAUUGAAAGAACUAUUUUGAAGGAACUCGGCAAAAUAACUCCGUAACUUCGGGAGAAGGAGGGCCGUCUUCUGGACGGUGGCACGAAAUUGAGGGGUGAAACUGUUUAGCAAAAACACAGGGCUUUGCCAAGUUGUAAAACGCUGUAUAAGGCCUGACUCCUGCCCGGUGGAAGUAGCUUAAUGGGAAAGGUGAAAACUUCUUUAAAGUUGGAGCUUUGAACUGAAUGCCUUCUAAACGGCGGUUGUAACUAUAACGAUCCUAAGGUAGCGAAAUUCAUUGUCCUCUAAUUAGGGACCUGCACGAAUGGAGCAAUGAUGCCCCUACUGUCUCCAAAAUAGAUUCAGAGAAAUUGAAUUCUUCGUGAAGAUGCGAAGUACUUAGUUGAACACACGAAGACCCCGGGUUCUUGACUAUAGUAUUAUGUUGAUGAGUUUCCUCUUUUGUGUAGAGUAGGUGGGAGAACUUCGGUUCGCAAGAUGAAACACCACCCUGAAUUGGCAACUUGUCUUGACUUUCUCUAUGAAAGGACAGCUUAAUAUGGGUAGUUUUGCUGGGAUGGCAACCUCCUAAAGAGUAACGGAGGUGUACGAAAGUUGGCUCACGGGGUGUAGAACCUCGGUCGAGCGCAUUGGUAAAAGCCAGCUUGACUGUGAGAUUGACAAAUCGAGCAGAGACGCAAGUCGGUCAAAGUGAUCCAGGAGUCCAGAAUGGAAUGGCUCUUGCUCAACGAAUUAAAGAAACCCCGGGGAUAACAGGCUUAUAAUCCCCAAGAGUUCAUAUCGACGGGAUUGAUUGGCACCUCGAUGUCGGCUCAUUUCGUCCUGGGGGUGCAGCAGCUCCCAAGGGUUGGACUGUUCGUCCAUUAAAGAAGUACGUGAGCUGGGUUCAGAACGUUGUGAAACAGUUCGGUUUAUAUGUCAACUAAGCGUUGUAAAAUUGAUAGAGGCUUUCCUUAGUACGAGAGGAUUGGGAAGGCUGGACCUCUGGUGUAUCGGUUGUCAUGCCUAUGGCAUCGCCGGGUAGCUACGUCUGAAGAAAGAACCGCUGAAAUCAUCUAAGCGGGAAGUUCGUCUAAAGAUAAGUUUUUCGAAGGGAUGUAAAAGACUCUUACAUAAAUAGGCAGGGUGUGUAAAUUUAGUAAUAAAUGAGAUUUUUCUUCUAAGCUGACCUGUACUAA